rnacentral:rRNA from 1 species
AUACGAGGGUUGCAAGCGUUAAUCGGAAUUACUGGGCGUAAAGCGUUCGUAGGCGGUUUGUUAAGCAAGAUGUGAAAGCCCUGGGCUCAACCUGGGAACUGCAUUUUGAACUGGCAAGCUAGAAUACUGUAGAGGGUGGUGGAAUUUCCAGUGUAGCGGUGAAAUGCGUAGAGAUUGGAAGGAACAUCAGUGGCGAAGGCGGCCACCUGGACAGAUAUUGACGCUGAGGAACGAAAGCGUGGGGAGCGAACAGGAUUAGAAACCCUUGUAGUCC